GACAAGAUGGCCGAGUGGUUAAGGCGUGUGACUCAAGCGAAAGCUUUCCUUUACUCAUCAAAGGACGUAUUCUCAUCAACUUUGUUGGCGGGGGUUCGAAUCCCCCUCUUGUCA